AUGAAUUUGAAGCAACAGGAAGAAACAGCUGGUUCGUCUCAUAGCAUCAAUAAUGGAAGGGAAAAUCUAUGGAAUUUAAUCUGGAAAGCUCAGGUCCCUCACAAAGUUCGUAUUGUUGCCUGGAGAAUUGCCAUAGAUUCACUCCCCACAAAGGAAAACAAAAGAAGGAGGACCCUGGAAAUUGAUGGCAGAUGUAAUAUAUGUGGCAUAGAGAAAGAGGAUGAUCACCAUGUUGUUGUCAACUGCACCAAGGCUAGAGCUCUUAGAGAAAAGAUAAGAGAACUUUGGGCAUUACCAAAAGAAUUAGUACUUGCUGAACCUAAUCCGGAUUGGCUGUUAAAUGCUUUAAGCCAAUGCCCUGGACACAUGCGAGAAAAACUGCUACUGGUUCUCUGGCGGUCAUGGCAUCUUAGGGAGGAUAUUGUACAUAAUAAAGGGGAAGCAAAGAUCUCGGACUCGGUCCUUUUCCUGAAGAAUUACUGGGAAACAUUGAACUCUAAAGUCCCAGCUGAAUGUGAUAUCAAAGGGAAAAAACUCCUGCAGGUUACUGAGAUACAGUCGUCACCAAAUAGGAACAUACAGCCAAAAUAUCACUGGUCCAGACCCCAAGGAGCUUGCAUUAAACUGAACGUCGAUGCUUCUUUUGUUUCAACUUUGGGCUCGGCGUGGGCAGGGGCGGUCGCUUGCGAUAGCGCGGGAUCAGUGGUAUUUUCUGUAGGCUGUCAUAUUCAGGCAUGUAAAGAUGCAGAGGAAGCAGAGGCAAGUGCCCUUGUGAUUGGACUCAAUUGUUUGAGAAAUGUUUAUAGGGGACAGGUGUAUGUUGAGUCUGACUGUGUGGCUGUUGUGAAUGCUAUGAACACUAAAAGAAGGAACAAAGCCAAGUGA
rnacentral:rRNA from 1 species